AUGUCAGUGGCAGGAGGUGGCGGCCACGCGGUGGCUCAUGGCACGGAGGAGAAGUUCGCCGAAGGGGAGGUGGUGCCGGGCAUGGCUGCUCCGGUCUUGGUUCUGCCUGGAUCUCCUGCCCGGCGCUUGGAACCACGCCGCCUCUGCCCGGAUCUGCUCGGCCGCCGCCUAAAAUCCGUCGCGCCGCCACGUCUCGCCGGAAACCAGCGCCACGCACAGGGUGCGCAACGCAGCUUUGGCCGCCACGCGAGAGGGGGCGUGUGGAGCUAUGGGGAGGUAGGAGGAGGCAUGGGCUGUGGAGCUGCUCACCGGUUGCCUCCGCCGGCGGAAGGGAGGUGGCCGUUGUUAUGCCACCGCGGCCAUGCAGCCAUGGCUCGGGAGGGGGAAAGAUAA
rnacentral:rRNA from 1 species